rnacentral:rRNA from 1 species
GCUAAACGCGAAGAACCUUACCUGGCCUUGACAUGUCCGGAAUUCUGCAGAGAUGCGGAAGUGCCUUCGGGAAUCGGAACACAGGUGCUGCAUGGCUGUCGUCAGCUCGUGUCGUGAGAUGUUGGGUUAAAGUCCCGCAACGAGCGCAACCCUUGUCCUUAGUUGCCAGCGAGUAAUGUCGGGAACUCUAAGGAGACUGCCGGUGACAAACCGGAGGAAGGUGGGGAUGACGUCAAGUCCUCAUGGCCCUUACGGCCAGGGCUACACACGUACUACAAUGGUCGGUACAGAGGGUUGCCAAACCGCAAGGUGGAGCCAAUCCCAGAAAGCCGAUCCCAGUCCGGAUCGGAGUCUGCAACUCGACUCCGUGAAGUCGGAAUCGCUAGUAAUCGCGGAUCAGCUAUGCCGCGGUGAAUACGUUCCCGGGUCUUGUACACACCG